CAGUCGAGCGACAGAUAAGGAGCUUGCUCCUUUGACGUUAGCGGCGGACGGGUGAGUAACACGUGGGUAACCUACCUAUAAGACUGGGAUAACUUCGGGAAACCGGAGCUAAUACCGGAUAACAUUUGGAACCGCAUGGUUCUAAAGUGAAAGAUGGUUUUGCUAUCACUUAUAGAUGGACCCGCGCCGUAUUAGCUAGUUGGUAAGGUAACGGCUUACCAAGGCAACGAUACGUAGCCGACCUGAGAGGGUGAUCGGCCACACUGGAACUGAGACACGGUCCAGACUCCUACGGGAGGCAGCAGUAGGGAAUCUUCCGCAAUGGGCGAAAGCCUGACGGAGCAACGCCGCGUGAGUGAUGAAGGGUUUCGGCUCGUAAAACUCUGUUAUUAGGGAAGAACAAAUGUGUAAGUAACUGUGCACGUCUUGACGGUACCUAAUCAGAAAGCCACGGCUAACUACGUGCCAGCAGCCGCGGUAAUACGUAGGUGGCAAGCGUUAUCCGGAAUUAUUGGGCGUAAAGCGCGCGUAGGCGGUUUCUUAAGUCUGAUGUGAAAGCCCACGGCUCAACCGUGGAGGGUCAUUGGAAACUGGGAAACUUGAGUGCAGAAGAGGAAAGUGGAAUUCCAUGUGUAGCGGUGAAAUGCGCAGAGAUAUGGAGGAACACCAGUGGCGAAGGCGACUUUCUGGUCUGUAACUGACGCUGAUGUGCGAAAGCGUGGGGAUCAAACAGGAUUAGAUACCCUGGUAGUCCACGCCGUAAACGAUGAGUGCUAAGUGUUAGGGGGUUUCCGCCCCUUAGUGCUGCAGCUAACGCAUUAAGCACUCCGCCUGGGGAGUACGACCGCAAGGUUGAAACUCAAAGGAAUUGACGGGGACCCGCACAAGCGGUGGAGCAUGUGGUUUAAUUCGAAGCAACGCGAAGAACCUUACCAAAUCUUGACAUCCUUUGAAAACUCUAGAGAUAGAGCCUUCCCCUUCGGGGGACAAAGUGACAGGUGGUGCAUGGUUGUCGUCAGCUCGUGUCGUGAGAUGUUGGGUUAAGUCCCGCAACGAGCGCAACCCUUAAGCUUAGUUGCCAUCAUUAAGUUGGGCACUCUAGGUUGACUGCCGGUGACAAACCGGAGGAAGGUGGGGAUGACGUCAAAUCAUCAUGCCCCUUAUGAUUUGGGCUACACACGUGCUACAAUGGACAAUACAAAGGGCAGCUAAACCGCGAGGUCAUGCAAAUCCCAUAAAGUUGUUCUCAGUUCGGAUUGUAGUCUGCAACUCGACUACAUGAAGCUGGAAUCGCUAGUAAUCGUAGAUCAGCAUGCUACGGUGAAUACGUUCCCGGGUCUUGUACACACCGCCCGUCACACCACGAGAGUUUGUAACACCCGAAGCCGGUGGAGUAACCAU
rnacentral:rRNA from 1 species